rnacentral:rRNA from 1 species
CUGCUGCCUUCCGUAGGAGUCUGGGCCGUGUCUCAGUCCCAAUGUGGCCGGCCAACCUCUCAGUCCGGCUACUGAUCGUCGCCUUGGUGGGCCGUUGCCCCACCAACUAGCUAAUCAGACGCGAGUCCAUCUCAGAGCGAUAAAUCUUUGAUAUCCAGAGCCAUGCGACCCAGAUAUAUUAUGCGGUAUUAGCAGCUGUUUCCAGCUGUUAUUCCCCACUCCAAGGCAGGUUACU